rnacentral:rRNA from 1 species
UACGGAGGGGGCUAGCGUUGUUCGGAAUUACUGGGCGUAAAGCGCGCGUAGGCGGCUUUGUAAGUCAGAGGUGAAAGCCUGGAGCUCAACUCCAGAACUGCCUUUGAGACUGCAUCGCUAGAAUCAUGGAGAGGUUAGUGGAAUUCCGAGUGUAGAGGUGAAAUUCGUAGAUAUUCGGAAGAACACCAGUGGCGAAGGCGGCUCACUGGCUCAUACUGGACGCUGAGGUGCGAAAGCGUGGGGAGCAAACAGG